rnacentral:rRNA from 1 species
UACGUAGGGAGCAAGCGUUGUCCGGAAUCAUUGGGCGUAAAGCGCGCGUAGGCGGCCCCGUAAGUCCGCUGUGAAAGUCAAAGGCUCAACCUUUGAAAGCCGGUGGAUACUGUGGGGCUAGAGUCCGGAAGAGGCGAGUGGAAUUCCUGGUGUAGCGGUGAAAUGCGUAGAUAUCGAGAGGAACACCAGUGGCGAAGGCGAGUCCCUGGACAACUACUGACACUGAGGCACGAAAGCUAGGGGAGCAAACAGG